UACGUAGGGUGCAAGCGUUGUCCGGAAUUAUUGGGCGUAAAGAGCUCGUAGGCGGUUUGUUGCGUCGGCUGUGAAAUCCCGAGGCUCAACCUCGGGUCUGCAGUCGAUACGAGCAAACUAGAGUGUUGCAGGGGAGACUGGAAUUCCUGGUGUAGCGGUGAAAUGCGCAGAUAUCAGGAAGAACACCUAUGGCGAAGGCAGCUCUCUGGGACGGUACUGACGCUGAGACGCGAAAGCGUGGGGAGCGAACAGG
rnacentral:rRNA from 1 species